rnacentral:rRNA from 1 species
CAGCAGCCGCGGUAAUACGUAGGGUGCGAGCGUUAAUCGGAAUUACUGGGCGUAAAGCGUGCGCAGGCGGUUGUGUAAGACAGGUGUGAAAUCCCCGGGCUUAACCUGGGAACUGCGCUUGUGACUGCACAGCUAGAGUAUGGCAGAGGGGGGUGGAAUUCCACGUGUAGCAGUGAAAUGCGUAGAGAUGUGGAGGAACACCGAUGGCGAAGGCAGCCCCCUGGGCCAAUACUGACGCUCAUGCACGAAAGCGUGGGGAGCAAACAGGAUUAGAUACCCCUGUAGUCCCUGUCUCUUAUAA